CCUACGGGAGGCAGCAGUGAGGAAUAUUGGUCAAUGGCCGAGAGGCUGAACCAGCCAAGUCGCGUGAGGGAAGACGGCCCUACGGGUUGUAAACCUCUUUUGUCGGGGAGCAAAGAGAGUCACGUGUUACUCAUUGAGAGUACCCGAAGAAAAAGCAUCGGCUAACUCCGUGCCAGCAGCCGCGGUAAUCCGGGGGAUGCGAGCGUUAUCCGGAUUUAUUGGGUUUAAAGGGUGCGCAGGCGGAGGUGCAAGUCAGCGGUCAAAUUGCGGGGCUCAAACCCGUCCUGCCGUUGAACCUGCAUGCCUUGAGUGCGCGAGAAGUAUGCGGAAUGCGUGGUGUAGCGGUGAAAUGCAUAGAUAUCACGCAGAACUCCGAUUGCGAAGGCAGCAUACCGGCGCGCAACUGACGCUCAUGCACGAAAGCGUGGGUAUCGAACAGGAUUAGAUACCCCUGUAGUC
rnacentral:rRNA from 1 species